AACGAACGCUGGCGGCAUGCCUAACACAUGCAAGUCGAACGAGACCUUCGGGUCUAGUGGCGCACGGGUGCGUAACGCGUGGGAACCUGCCCUUAGGUUCGGAAUAACUCCCCGAAAGGGGUGCUAAUACCGGAUAAUGUCUUCGGACCAAAGAUUUAUCGCCUUUGGAUGGGCCCGCGUUGGAUUAGCUAGUUGGUAGGGUAAAAGCCUACCAAGGCGACGAUCCAUAGCUGGUCUGAGAGGAUGAUCAGCCACACUGGGACUGAGACACGGCCCAGACCCCUACGGGGGGAAGCAGGGGGGAAUUUUGGACAAUGGGCGAAAGCCUGAUCCAGCAAUGCCGGGUGAGUGAUGAAGGCCUUAGGGUUGUAAAGCUCUUUUACCCGGGAUGAUAAUGACAGUACCGGGAGAAAAAGCCCCGGCUACCUCCGU
rnacentral:rRNA from 1 species